UCCGGGGAUUGCUUUCAAACACGUAUCCACGUUUCAAGGAUACGUGUAUUCAUCGUGUAUCCCUCCACUCCCCUCCCCCGUUCCUUCCUUUAUUUCCUUCUUACGUCUGAUCCUUGUUUCCAGCCACGGUCUCGAGCGAUAUUCGCCGGGGUUGAUUCCCCACGAAUACGCGGCAGGAUUUCCGCGUGCACCGGCAAAAGUGGAUUUUCCUUUCCUCCCCGACGACGACGUCGAUGCCGCGAAUAAAUCUCCAUCCUCGACUUUUAAACGUUGCUUAUCGUCUUACGCGCUUUGCCUCCCCCGUUUAAAAUAUCCUUAUCCCCGUUGUUCGCCAUUUUUCCUCCUCCUCUCGAGGGAGGAGGGAAGAGGAGGUGCGGUCUUGAUGCCUCUUCUUGCUUGGGAUCUCGAAUUCUUUUUUUUCUCCUUUUUCCUUUGCUUGGACGAUUAGAUGAUGUCUCUUCAUUAAUUUCGAUCAAGGUUUUGAUCAAGGUUUAGAUACAAGAUUCGGAUAAUUUUUUUGAAUUUUUUUUCGAUAUCGAUGCGUUGCAUUUCUUGUAUUUGUGGGUUUGUUUCUGGUGGUGUUUACAGGAUUGAAUUGUGAAUGAAUUUCGACGAUUUGUUUCUUCGUGUUGUUCAUCGAAAAAUGAAUAACCAUUUCAUUGAAAUAAUAUUUCAUCGACAAGACGAUGUGUAUGCAUGAAUAAUCCAAGCAUAUUAAAAGUCGGAGGGAUGCAAUAUAAAAAACAUUCGUUUCAAAUCAAUUUUCCAGAUGCAUUAGUCAAAAAAAAAAAAAAAAUCAAAGAUAUUAUUCGCCUUCCAAUUAAUUUUAUACAUACAUAUGUAAUUACAAGUAUAAUUCUCAUGUAUCAACAAACUACAUAUUUUAUUGAUAACACGAAUAUCGCUACUUUCCUCCACGUGGAAACACAGUCACAAUCUCCGGUCGUCUUUCUAAAACACGUCGGUUCCAGAACCUCGAUAAAUAUCCACCCUUUCACGAUCUCUCGACCGUGGAUCAUCGUCCCCGUUUUCUCGUCCCUCAGUUUCCAAUUAAAUACACCUAUUUUCUCCGCUCGGAAGCCGGUUUCUUAUCGGCGCGUCUUGAGAUACGUUCGCGACGUCCCCAGACAUGUUUCCAAUAGAACGACGUUUCCCUCGCGAUACGUACACGCGCUUUGUACACUAUUCCCCUCUAUUUUUCCCGAUUUUCCUCUCCUUUCUCUCUCUCUCUCUUUCUCUCCCCUACGUCCAAUCUUGCUUCGAUCGUCUGAGAAUCCCAUUCGUGACUUGGAGGGAGGAGCAGAAUGGAGGAGGAUAAAUCGAACCAAUUACUAUUUCGAGGUAAUUGGCUGAACCGUCGUAUUUGAUAGCAGACGUUAGAAAUAAUUAGGAAUAGUUCGGAUGGAAGAUAUUCAAGUAUAUGUACAGUUUGUUUUUGUUUCUAACAUCGAUCCUUUGUGUAGAUAUCUAUUCCACGCGGACUUCCGGCGUAUCAUCGAUGAUGUUGACAAACGAUCGCCUCGUAUCCGCGUAACAGGCACGCGCCUGAUCCAAAUCAAUUCCACGCGAACCUCGAACACGGUAUAAAUUACAAUACUCGUUCCGACUUGUUCCCUCUUCCCUCCUUCAUUUUAUUUCAAUUCCAAUUCCCUCCUUCGUUCAAUCGCAUUUCUAAUACGCGCUGUUACACACACACACACGGUUGAAUCAACAUCCACGGGAGUCAAAUAUUUUUUCGUCGCGUGUCUAUUUACCUUCGUCGACCGAUCGAUCGAUAAUUCAGCUCCCAACCGGCCCGUGGAAUCCUUUCAAGAAUCGCGACGGUAUCGCAAAUGGAUCAAAUUAGAAAUUUACUCGGAGCCGGGGCUUUACAAGACACAUCCGAUCGGUGGUAAUAAUUCAGUGUCGCCGCGAGCCGCCACGAGAUAACUCCUCGCCAAUAAAUAAUUCACCGUAUCUAUCAAUCGUGCUCUUCAACGUCGCCGUUGGUUGAGAUGGACCAUUGGUCGGGGUACACACCGACCGAUUUUAUUUCGGUAUCGUUGAUUGACGUAACACCGAUCCAUGUCCACGAAGUAUAGGCUUAUUUGUUGAUUGACUGUUCAGGAGGAUGGAAAUAUCGUCCCCCCUGUGAUAAUUACGAUAAUUUGUGGAAAAUUAUGCACUUUGAAUUGAAAGUAAGAAAAUAAUUAUCGAGAUAUUUUUUUUUUCUUUGCUUCAUUUCAGGAUUCGAUUAUUCAAUUGCGAAACAGAAAAAGAGGGAGAAGAGGGAGAAUUUGUUACUGCGCGAAGGAUAUUUUUCUCAAACCGGUGACAUCGGUAUCGGAUAUAACUUGAAGAUCUCGGUGAAAUCGGAUGGGUUCCUUUUAUAUUUGUCCCUCUGAAUAUCUUACUAUGGGGUUUAGUACGUGAUUGAUAAAUCCGGAUGAGCCGAGCCGCCUGCCUUCAAACGAAUUUCCUUUAAUAUCUUGGCCGGAUCGAGAAAAAAAGAAAGGGAGAAAGAGGAAGAGAGAGAGAGAGAGAGAGAGGAAUGGCGAUGCAAUUUCUCAUCAACCCCCGCGAGAAUCGCUUUCUCUUCUAGGGGAGUAAAUUAGAGAAUCGUGUUACAAGGAAUCGGUGCUGGCUAAGUGCUCUCUUCGCGAUUUAUUUUCGACGCGGAAUUAAACGUUGAAACAGCUUCAUCUCACUUUUUGAUAUUCUUGUUUCAGAAUGUUUGCGCGAUCAAUGAUUAUGGAUAUACUUUAAGGGUCGAAAAGAAUUCUUGGGAAUUCGAAGAUAAGUAUUGGCGAAAUUUGUUCGUAUAUACAUGAGUAGUAGGAUGAUUUAAGAAGGACAGAAGAAGAAAUUUAUUGGUAAUUUUUUGAUAUAUGUUACAUUGAUUUUGAUUUUAUUAAAGCUUACAAGAAAAAGCAGCUUUUUCUCGCUUAUUUAAUUGUUUAACAAUUUCCUUUGAAAUUUAUGAAACACUGUUCCAGGAUAUCCAUUCGAAUAUAUUUCAUAUAAUUGGAGAAGAAGAGACAUUUAGAAUAGUUUUGCAUUCAUUUAUUAAAUUUCAUUGACCACUCAUCAGAAAAUAUUAAAUCGUGUUAAAUUUGGAUUUCGUAGAUCCAUUAUAAUUAUGUCAAAAAUAAGAUUACAAAUUGUAUGAUAGAAAAAUCCAUUGGACGAUAGAUUAUUCUAUAUUUAAUAUCUGCAACUUUACUGUUGAAGAGUUAUUGUACUUAUGGAAUUAUGGCGGUAGCUUUCGAAGAAGGGCAUCCGAAGUUUGACGAUCUGUAGGUUGUGAAAGAGGAUAAUGAAGGAAGGAUGACGAAGUGCAACUUUCGAAACUGUUGUGCACAGAAUCGAAGCGGUGCAUCGACACCUGGAUUAGAAACAGAGAGCUAUUAUCAGAAAAUUAAUAACCUUUCAUCGUUUCCUCCCCUUUCUUUUCUCUUGCAUACAUUUAAAUUAAUCUUUAAAAAUCCAAAAUUGUAUAUAUAAAAUCAAUCUAAUUCUUCGUCCAAAUCCCCCUCCCCCCAUAAUACUAAUACUCCAAAACGCAAACUCUCGUUCAAAUCGGAGGAGAAGGGCGAGGCGAGUGUAUGCGCGUCUGGGCGGAAAUAGCAGGGAGCCAGUGGAUCGAGACCUCGGUAUUAAAUGGCCGCGUGCCGUUCGAAUUCCUUUCAUCCGUGCCGUACCGGUAAAUCGCGAGCCGAGGCGUUUUUCGCGUCGCGUUCUCGUUGCCGUGAACUUAUCGCGCAAAAUCGCGAGGCGGUAACGAGGCGGGCCGUGGAUGGUGCAGCUGCAACGCGCCAUCCGCAUCCUCUUCCCCCUCCCUCUCUCUCUCUCUCUCACCCACCCUCCCUCUUCGCCCCCCACGUAAUUGGCAGUUCACGCGGCCAUUCCGGUGGAAGCCGCACGCGCGCCGAGGUUUUUGAACUCGCGGCCAAAAGAAUCCCGCGCGCGCGUUAUGCGCGGGCAAACCAGACGCCGGGGAGGAGGCGAAGGAACGCGACGAAGGAAGGAAGGAGAGAAGGAGGCUUCCUCCGCGAGGAUCAGGAGGAGGGGGAGGGGGCGAGAGGAAGAAGAUACGAUAAAGACGUUUCCUCUCGCGCGUUCGCCGAUAGUUUCCGUUAUUUUUUUCUUUCUUUCCUUCCUUCUUUUCUUUUCUUUUCUUUUCUUCUUUUUUUUCUUUAAGCAAAGGAAACGCAAGCGAGGGGUAUACCGCGCGGAUUUCCAGCUGCGGACACGUAUUAACCGAUAGGAGGGGGAGGAUAAAUAGCCACGGGGACAAUAGCCUUUCGCGACGCUAUUCGCGAAAUUUAUCGCGGGGAAUGAUUCGGUUUUUUCUUUUUUGGAGUCAGUUAGGCUCGCUUUCGCUCGCGUUCUCGGGGGAAAGAUUGGAAUUUUUUUUGUCGGGAAUAUUACGUAAGUUCGAAUUCGACGAUGACGUUACGUAAAUCUUUUGAAUAAAAGGUUCUUAUAUGCGGGAUCGAGUGAUAUUUGAAUCGGCGAUGAUAAUAACGUCGUUGAAAAAGGAAAAAGAAGGAAUUGCACAACGAAGCAAAAUGAAAGAAUGGAUGAAAGGAGAAGUUCUUUGCCCGUUGCAAAGUUGAAGAGAAACUCUCUCUCUCUCUCUCUCUCUCUCUCUUGGAAAAAUAUACAUUUGUCCGAAUUAAUCGCGCUAAAAGCUGCCGCCUCGGGUAAUAUCCUUAAAGGACGUGUCUAUCGAAUUUUCAUGAGGAACGGGGAGGGAGAAACGGCGGUAAUGUAUAAAGAUUCGAGAAAAUAAACAAAGGAACGAAAGAAGCACGAGAAACACGGGGACAUCCGGGGGAGGGGGAGGAAAGAAAGAGUUUUCUUCCCUCUACUUCGGUCAUUCGUCGAAAGUGGCUACGACGACUAAAGUUCGCGACAGGCUAAGAGCUUCUCCGCCCGUCCGGGCCAGGCAUUCUAAGAUUGAAAUUAAUUAUUUCUACACUCUGCAGAGAGAGAGAGAGAGAGAUUUCUCUCAAGUGGUGGGAUAGCCUGGAAAAUUCGUCAGGUGCCACGAUGACACGACGAUUUCGCGUCUACGCUCAAUGCGAUUACCAAAAAGCGACUCUCUUCCGUUUUUUCUUUCUUUUUUUUUGGAUGGGGUUUCCAUAGGUUUCCACUCCAUUCCCCGUUUCAUUCUGUUUUUUCGCACGAAAAGUCGUUGGCAUUAAACGCCGUCCGGAUGCAACAUUGCCUCUUCGAAAUCACCGUGUUGCUCCCCCCCUCUCUCUCUCUCUCUCAUUCUCCUUCUCUCUCGACUGGUUUCGCAGGGGCCACCUGCGAAUAUUUCGACGGAGAUUAACGCGAUGGAAUUUUAGACCGUUUAAUCGGGGCCCCCUCCCCUGUCGCUCCAGGAGACGUUCCCGGUUAAUUUUCAGAGCUGGGUCGGAUAGAGCGCUCUAGCUUGAACGAGUUUUGUGUACAUAAUUUAGUUUUGAUUGGGGAUGGAGGUCUUGGGAUUUGGGUUUGAGUGGCGUGGACCUGCUUGUUUUUGACGAGAGGAAGUUGAAGCUCUACAUAUAAUCUGUGCUCUUUCGCGUUAGAUCGUAAGUAGUCGUUCCACAAUACGCAUAAUUUUAAUAGAAAAAUAAAGUAACGCUUGAUACCGUGUAUCUUUAAUUCAUCGAUCGUUUUCCUUCUCUUUUGAUUAUAGUUUCGAUCAAUUUCCUUACGAUUUUCCAACAGCGUACAAUUUUCAAUCCCAAUCUUAAUCCUGCUGCAGCGACUUUUGAAACGCGACGAUCCAAAUAUUGGACGGAGAACGUUUAAUACCGCAUAGAUGGACGAAUAAACAAAGGAAUAAAUUGGAAAUUACCAAGAAUGGUCCGAGAAUCCAUAAAUAUCGCUAUCUUUUGCCAAGAUAUCCAAUUUCCUCGGUCCAAAGGGGCAGGAAAGAGACCUCCACGAUUUCGCGGAUCGCCGCGAAAUUACCUUCAAAAUACGCAUUAAUUCACCGAUCGAGAAAAUUCAUCAAUCCUCCUCCACCCUUCCUCGAGAAAGAGACAUCCUCCCCUCGUUCCAGGGUUAAUUCGCGCUAAUCCGAUACGGGGAGGAUUCUUCCGUUGCGGCGAAUAACAUUUCGAUGAUCGAUCGCCGAUCGCGGUUAAGAGGCGUAUUAAUUGGGCCGUCGAUCGAUACCUCUAAUUACCGGUGCGCGCCGCGCUGAUUAAUUACCACCGGCUGGCCACGGCUGCUAACCAAACCGAGAUCGAUGCCCGUUCUCCGCCUAUUCUCUUUAAUUCGACUCGAUCGAGUGAUUAUUUUACCCACCACGCGUGUUCCCCUUUCUUCUUCUUCUUCUUCUUCUUCUUUUUCUUUUGCUCGGUUCUCGCGUUAACGAAGAGGAAAAGAUACGAAGGGAAUGUUGAAUGGAGGGGGAUUUCGAUUCCUGGAUUUGGAGAGAUUGUUAAAAUUGUUUUCUUCUUUUUAAGAUUCUAUUUAUUCUUUGUGCAAAUGAUUAUGAUUUUCCUUAUGCUUGUCCGUAUUUUAAGAAAAAUCUCUUCCUCUUUCUCGUUUCGGUUUUCUUAAAAAUCUUGGAGUCGUUGCUGAAAAGAAUCAUUGAGGGAGGGGGAGAAUAAAAGAGGAGGACGUCAAAUAUGAAAAUGAAUUCUAAACUGCAUCUUUUCUUUAACGUCUAUUUAAUUUCGACGCAUUUCGCUCUGUAAACGGAUUUCGCGAGAUUGCAAGAUAAAUGAUCGAUGAGACACGCGAACUCGAGCUGACAUGUACACACGCAAAGAAGAGGAAUAGAAAUAGGAAUAGAAGAAAGGGGGGCACGUGGCGCGUUAAUGGAAAAAACAGAGUCGCAAUUUGCAAAUCGCCAUCACGAUUCAGGAUUCCUCGCUCGUGCGUGAUCCAUUCUUUUGUAUUUUGGAACGUGACUCAGGAUGGGUUCAUUAGCAUGAACUCCCGCCACGCGCCAUUUCGAGAAACUGCGUCGUCGUUCAAAGCGCCGACAGGACAAUAAAUGAUUCGGCAUAAUUUCGAUGUUGUUGUGUCUGCAUUUUGUUGAUGCCCCCGUUGAUGCGUCAAUUUGAUUAUUCGAGCUGUUUUUUUGCCGAACAUUCUCGAAUGUAAACCGAUAUUUUUUUACGAAACCUUUAAUUCUCCACUUUUUCUUUUUCUCUUUUUGUGAUUUUUGGAAUAGAUUUUUGGAAUGUCCAGGUAUUCAAUUACACUUCCUUGGUUCCUUUCUAUUCGUUCUAAAUUCCUUCUAAAAUUAUUAUUUGGAUCGUUUCAAUUUGCUUUUCGAUUUUAAAAUUUAUCGAUUUUCAAUUGAUGGAUUAACCUAUAUAUUUUUUAAAACUUGAAUUUAUUAAUUAAUGACACUUGGAAUUCGAUAUAAUGGGAUAAAUAUUAGAUCGAGGCAUAUGAAAUUGCCACGAAUGUGUAAAGUUAUUUAAAUUUUAACAAAAUAUUUUGACUGAUUAAACGUAUCGUUAAAUAAUAUUUGUCGCGCUUCAAUUCUUGGUGUUGCUUGAAUACCGUUCUAUUACAAUAACAAAUUAUACGUUGGCAAAAUUAUACUAUAUUACAUACAAUUUAAAAAAAUCCACUAACAAUCGUCAAUUAAAGAUUUUGAUACAAUCUUGCCGUUCGAUAAACGAUAUAUAAUUCGACUGUUACUUUCAAUAAACCUACAAAUACCAAACAAAAAAAAA